CAGGAAAAUAAACUCACAAUAAGUGAUUUGUAGUGAAUAACUUAAUUUGGUUGAGUUAUACUGAGAAGCUUGAUUUCUAAAGGUCUAUAUGACACCCUGUAUAGGGUGUAUCAAUUAUCAAGAAAUGUAAUCCAACUUUAGAGUGAUCUUGUGCGGUCAGUGCAGAAUGUAUUCAGAUUUUAUUGUUUUAUCCACGAAGUUAGCAUGUUAAGCUUAUAUAUUAUUUGGCA